ACCACCCACCCCCCGUCUGUCGAAAAAAAAACACGCGGCCCGAUCCAGAUCCCCGACCUCCUCUUCUCUCCCAACCCACUCGCCGCCGGCCUCCCUUCCACCUCCUCUCCUCCGUCCGUCCGCCCCCAUGUCCCCCGCCGCCUGCGCCACGCCGGCGGCCGCGCGCCCGCCGCUCCCCGUCUCGCGCCGCUGCCCCCUGCAGCCGAGGGACGGCAACGCGGCGGCCUCCCUGUCCUUGGGCGGCGCCGUCCUUGCCAAAUCGAAGGCGAAGGCACCGGCGGCUGCCGCGUCGCCGCCGUCGGUGAGGUCGUAUGCUGCCAGGGUUGACGCGGAGAGCAGGGCGGCGGCGGUGGCGAUUGAGAAGAAGGUGUCGCUGGCAGAGGAGCUGGAGAAGGUGCGGGAGCGGCGGGGACGGGUGAUGGCGGAGCUGAUAGGCCUCAUCGAGAUGCAGUAGUUCUAUGUCUUUUCCCCAAAUCCUAAUUCCCGUUCUCGGCUGCUAUCCUGCUACAUCAAGGCUUCGGCAGACCGCCGGCUGCGAAUCGCCGCUGCACGCCAGCCCGCUGCGUCUGCUGCAUCUACUGCAUUAUGAAUCAGUUUGAAAAAGAAACUGGAGUGUUUGUUGAGAAAUUAUUUCUCAUGGUAGAGUCCUAAUUUUUGUUGGCUUUUGCAGGUCUCAAUUAUCUGUAUUCGGUGGUGAAACACUGAAACUAGAGAUACAGUGGAGUGACUUUCCUGUAGAGGGAAUUAGGGAGGUUUAUUCUGAUGAGAUUAUUUCCCAUGAGAUAUAGACACGAUGCAAAACCAAGGUAUGCUCAUGCGCAUAAUUCAUACCCUAGUAAGUACAGAUAUGUAGCAAUAGUGAGGGAGUGGUGCAUGUCUUAAUUCAUUAAGCCACUGUGAAAUUACUGUUAAUUAAGAUAGUACAGCAGGCACUAGUAAUAGUGCUGCUGUUGCUGAUAUUGCCAUUGCCACAUUUCACUGCACUCGUAUACGCGCACUUUGAUUAUCUGUGCCACUUUUUUUGCCUGUCUAACGAGCACAUAUUUUAGUAAAAACUGGAGGAGCGCAGAGUUCUCGUGAUGUGCAUUAUGCCCCUUCUCAUGAUGUGCGCUACCCUCAGGGCCAGCGCAUAAUGCGAUGAGCGCCAAUGAACAGACAAACGGUAAACUGUUGGCUGCUGCCGAAGGAGCAAGCAAUGUUCAGUUCUGACAAGUGAUAAAGUGGUAUUCCGACGAGUGUUCUCACUUGUCUGAUGAUGUGCAGAUUUUGAUUGCCUUGUGAACUUGAUUAAGAUUAUCAGAUGUUAAGUCAUUCAACCAUGUGUUUGCGUGCCAUGUAAAUUUCCAUUGCCAUGGGGUUAACCUGUUUGUACAAAUUAAAGUAACUUGAUUAAGGUGUUAAAUCUGUCAAGCGGUCAGUCACAGUACUGUGCAGUCAGCCAUGUCCUGCUUUAGAGAAGUAACAUUUUUUUUGAAAUAGUAGAACAUGCAGUCCUUUUACAAAUGAAAGAGAGGCAAAGAAAGUGUUGAACAAGAACAACUAUCAGCACAACAUGUUGUGAGUUGCACAUCCUUUUUUGCAUUCUUUUUAAAAAAUGACCCCUUCUUAGUUGCUUGUCACGCUCGGCCACUGGUUGCAGGUCUAUGUUCCGGUGGAAUCGUUGAUUUCUAAGGAGGAGAGGAAGAGAAUACAGGGGACUGCGUCUUCAGAUUCUCAGUAAUGGAUAAUUACAAGAACAUUCCUCAAUUCCUCUAUGGCUUAAGCCCAUCUCAGAUGGAAAUGUUUAAAACUGACGACAACCCUUAUAAUCGGCAGUCAAAGAAAGUUACAGAGAAAUCUUGGAUUCAUAAAUGGGAGAAGCACAUAAGUGAGAAGAUGAUGAUUGCAAGGAUGGAGAGGGAGCAAAUCAUUUGGAGGGAUAGAAUGCCACUGUUUGGUGUUUCUAUGCAUUUUUGUUUGCUUUCAACUGUGUUUGCACUAGUUGGGAAUAAGUGACUAGGCAAUAAGUGUAGAUGUAUGUAUAUGCUCUAAUGCUCCUGGUUUACUAUAAAUCUUCGAUUUGGAAUGAUGUGUAAUGCUGCUAGUUUAUUAUAAAUCUGGGCUUGUUUUAGUUGUUAGAA